CUUGGUUUGUCCUACCUGGAGAAUCAGUACUUCUGACUUUUAGAAAUCUUUCCCUCUCUUUUUCUUCUAUUUUUGUUUCAUGUCCCUAUUACUUUCCAGUAUUUCGUGGAGUCUCCUGCCAGCUUGUUGUUCAUAGCUGCCUUAAAAGUUGGGAAGUCAGUCAAUUCCCUCUUGAUUUUACUCCCUGUUAC